rnacentral:rRNA from 1 species
UACGUAGGGUGCAAGCGUUAAUCGGAAUUACUGGGCGUAAAGCGUGCGCGGGCGGUGAUGUAAGACAGAUGUGAAAUCCCCGGGCUCAACCUGGGAACUGCAUUUGUGACUGCAUCGCUGGAGUACGGCAGAGGGGGAUGGAAUUCCGCGUGUAGCAGUGAAAUGCGUAGAUAUGCGGAGGAACACCGAUGGCGAAGGCAAUCCCCUGGGCCUGUACUGACGCUCAUGCACGAAAGCGUGGGGAGCAAACGGG